UUUAGAACACAGCAUAAAGAAACCUUCUUCAAAAGGUCCAGGCUCCCUGCUGCUAUCAGCACAGCCCAAGCAUGGGCUGAGGACCACGAGCUGCAGUAUGGUGGUAGGUGGGAAGUGCUGCAAAACAUGUGGCAGAGCUGAGGAGGUUUUCGGCAAGGACGUUUUAAGCUCCCAGGUAUAUUGGAACACGUGCUGGAAAAUAGCAACUGCUUACAGAUUCACUCAGCUUUACAAGGAAGAAGGUCUUACUCCUAUCCGGUCAUCUGAAACCACAAUCCAAUUCUAACAAAGAUGCAUUGAGCUCAAGGAGGGAUUUCCAGAUUGUGUUACAUCCCUCACCACUGGUGAUAGAAAAUUACUUCAAAGCAUUAUGAAAAGGCUAAUUGAAUAGCUAAAUUUCUCCUCAGACACACGUGUGUGUCCCAUGCACAGAGCCUGGCACUGCAGCAUGACAGGAGUAAAUUAUAUCUGGUAACUUGGGAGCAUCAGCCCCGCAAGACUGAAGAUGACAAUUUCGUGGACAGUUGUGGCAGAAUCCAUCUGAAAGAAGAGCACUUUGCCUUUCUGAUCAGCAUCACGUUCAUCCUCCCCGAAUUCAGCCUUUGCCUGCUGCUCGUGGUCCACAAGCCCAUUUCUUUGUAAGCCUGACAAGAAGUUUGCGGAGUUGAUGCAUAACUUUAUCUUUCCAAGAAAAUGCCAUCUGUAUUAAACGCUAAAAUUAACCAAGGCUAAUUGGUUGCCACACACAGAGCAUGCUAUGCUCUGCUGGAUAAAGUAACAAAUGCAUUAGUAGAUCUAAGCUGCUCCAU